rnacentral:rRNA from 1 species
ACAAGGUUUCCGUAGCGGAACAGCAUAUCCUUUCGGGUACGUCUGCUGAAACCUCAGUGAAUUGAUUAGGCGACUCUAAACAAGUAUAAUCCUCGAGGGCUGCCCUCGAGCACUAGCCAUCCUUUAUGGUUGGCGACAUUACCAUCUUGCGGGAACAUUCGACCUCGUUACAAACUAGUUAGGAUAACCCGCAGUCACACCCGUGACUCACAGGCUAAAUGGUGAUGGGCGUAGAUGUUAGGCAUCUAUGCUUCAGAUAUAGUCGGUCCCCAGAUGUCUCUGGGAGUAUGUAAACGUUCCGUAGGUGAACCUGCGGAAGGAUCAUUACUGAGAGAGGGGCUUCGCGCUCCCGGGGAUCUCGGCCCCCAACUCUUCACCCUGUGUGUAUCUACCUUUGUUGCUUUGGCGGACCUUGGAGGUCCCCUCCGCACCGGCUUUCGGGUCGGUGAGUGUCCGUCAGAGUCCUAUUUAAAUUCUGUUUAUCAGUGCCGUCCGAGUAUAAACUAUAAAUUAAGUAAAAACUUUCAACAACGGAUCUCUUGGUUCCAGCAUCGAUGAAGAACGCAGCGAAAUGCGAUAAGUAAUGUGAAUUGCAGAAUUCAGUGAAUCAUCGAAUCUUUGAACGCACAUUGCGCCCCUCGGUACUCCGGGGGGCAUGCCUGUUCGAGCGUCAUUACACCCCUCAAGCUUAGCUUGGUAUUGGGUCCUCGUCCCCGUGGCGUGCCCGAAAAGCAGUGGCGGUCCGACGUGACUUUAAGCGUAGUAAAUAUCAAUCCCGCUUUGAAAGCUUGCGUCGUGGCUCGCCAGACAACCCUACGUAUAAUCACGUAUCUUCAAUAAUUGACCUCGGAUCAGGUAGGGAUACCCGCUGAACUUAAAAAAAGGGUUUUCCGUAGCGUGACAGCAUAUCCUUUCGGGUACGUCUGCUGAAACCUCAGUGAAUUGAUUAGGCGACUCUAAACAAG